GAUCUGAAUACUCAACAACAAGCUCUACAAGCCCACAAUUUACCUACUCAUAUCCAUUUAAUCCCUUAUCAGGGCUAACCCAUUGGGGGCACUCUGCAGGCACCGGCUCCCCUGAUCCUCGGAGGGUGUCCACUGUGCGGCUCCUUGCAACCCCCCUGGGGUCUGUUUUGGUUUCCCUCUCUCCCCCAUGGGGUUGUGGGUGGCGCUCCCUUCGGAUUUUCUAACGGCUCUGCACAUCUCUGGUCAUUACAAAACCCACUUCAUUCGUUAACGAAUCAACCAUCCCCCUGAAGAGACCACUUAGAGGUCGAAAUGCGUCGGGGAACGCACAUCACACAGCAUAAAGCAAUGUUGUAUACAUUUGUCCAAUAUUGUGGAAUAUGUAUUGUAUCACCAGAUCCGUAAAGGGUUUUCUUUUAAUUGUUAUUGCAUUUAAAAUGUAUGUUAUU